rnacentral:rRNA from 1 species
AGCAGCCACCAUUGAAAGAGUGCGUAAUAGCUCACUGGUCGAGUGACCCCGCGCCGAAAAUGUACCGGGGCUAAACAUAUUACCGAAACUGUGGAUGAACCUCUUUAGAGGUUCGUGGUAGGAGAGCGUUCUAAGGGCGGUGAAGUCAGACCGGAAGGACUGGUGGAGCGCUUAGAAGUGAGAAUGCCGGUAUGAGUAGCGAAAGAAGGGUGAGAAUCCCUUCCACCGAAUAUCUAAGGUUUCCUGAGGAAGGCUCGUCCGCUCAGGGUUAGUCGGGACCUAAGCCGAGGCCGAUAGGCGUAGGCGAUGGACAACAGGUAGAGAUUCCUGUACCAGUGCUAAUUGUUUAACCGAUGGGGUGACACAGAAGGAUAGGGAAUCGCACGAAUGGAAAUGUGCGUCCAAGCAGUGAGUGUGAGAAGUAGGCAAAUCCGCUUCUCGCGAAGCAUGAGCUGUGAUGGGGAAGGAAAUUAAGUACGGAAGUUCCUGAUUUCACGCUGUCAAGAAAAGCCUCUAGGAAGAGUAGUACUGCCCGUACCGCAAACCGACACAGGUAGAUGAGGAGAGAAUCCUAAGGUGAGCGAGAGAACUCUCGUUAAGGAACUCGGCAAAAUGACCCCGUAACUUCGGGAGAAGGGGUGCUCUAUUAGGGUGCAAGCCCGAGAGAGCCGCAGUGAAUAGGCCCAGGCGACUGUUUAGCAAAAACACAGGUCUCUGCAAAACCGUAAGGUGACGUAUAGGGGCUGACGCCUGCCCGGUGCUGGAAGGUUAAGAGGAGUGCUUAGCUUCGGCGAAGGUACGAAUUGAAGCCCCAGUAAACGGCGGCCGUAACUAUAACGGUCCUAAGGUAGCGAAAUUCCUUGUCGGGUAAGUUCCGACCCGCACGAAAGGCGCAACGAUCUGGGCACUGUCUCAACGAGAGACUCGGUGAAAUUAUAGUACCUGUGAAGAUGCAGGUUACCCGCGACAGGACGGAAAGACCCCGUGGAGCUUUACUGCAACCUGAUAUGGAAUGUUUGUACCGCUUGUACAGGAUAGGUAGGAGCCGAAGAGACGUGUGCGCUAGCAUACGAGGAGGCAAUGGUGGGAUACUACCCUGGCUGUAUGACCAUUCUAACCCGCCACGCUUAGCGCGUGGGGAGACAGUGUCAGGUGGGCAGUUUGACUGGGGCGGUCGCCUCCUAAAGAGUAACGGAGGCGCCCAAAGGUUCCCUCAGAAUGGAUGGAAAUCAUUCGCAGAGUGUAAAGGCACAAGGGAGCUUGACUGCGAGACUGACAAGUCGAGCAGGGACGAAAGUCGGGCUUAGUGAUCCGGUGGUUCCGCAUGGAAGGGCCAUCGCUCAACGGAUAAAAGCUACCCCGGGGAUAACAGGCUUAUCUCCCCCAAGAGUCCACAUCGACGGGGAGGUUUGGCACCUCGAUGUCGGCUCGUCGCAUCCUGGGGCUGUAGUCGGUCCCAAGGGUUGGGCUGUUCGCCCAUUAAAGCGGCACGCGAGCUGGGUUCAGAACGUCGUGAGACAGUUCGGUCCCUAUCCGUCGCGGGCGCAGGAAAUUUGAGAGGAGCUGUCCUUAGUACGAGAGGACCGGGAUGGACACACCGCUGGUGUACCAGUUGUUCCGCCAGGAGCAUCGCUGGGUAGCUAUGUGUGGCAGGGAUAAACGCUGAAAGCAUCUAAGCGUGAAGCCCCCCUCAAGAUGAGAUUUCCCAUUUCUUCGGAAAGUAAGAUCCCUGAAAGAUGAUCAGGUAGAUAGGUUUGGAGUGGAAGUGUAGCGAUACAUGGAGCGGACAAAUACUAAUCGAUCGAGGACUUAACCAAAA